rnacentral:misc_RNA from 1 species
AACGGUCUAUACCUGCGGUACCUGCGGAAGGAUCAUUACCGAGUUUACAACUCCCAAACCCCAUGUGAACAUACCUGUUUCGUUCCCUCGGCGGUGUCCGGCAACGGCCCGCCAGAGGACCCAACAAACUCUUUUGAAUUUUUCAGUAUCUUCUGAGUGAAAAAAACAAUAAAUCAAAACUUUUAACAAUGGAUCUCU